CAGAUGUAGAGAGCAUACAGUGAUCAGAGGAGCAAAAAGGUAAAGGACAGAAAUAAGUCAGAGGUAGAGGACUGAAAAAGAGGGAGAGGUUAAGGACUGAGAAUAGAGGGAGAGGUAGAGGACUGAAAAAGAGGGAGAGGUUAAGGACUGAGAAUAGAGGG